rnacentral:rRNA from 1 species
AUGAAAUUCCCACAGAAAUACUUGUGGAAGACCAAGGUACCUGCAAAACUGAAAGUGUUUUUAUGGUUGAUUAAUAAAAAAAGCAUCCUAACUAGAGAUGUGCUGCUUAAAAAAGGCUGGAAGGGGGAGAAAAGAUGUGUCUUGUGUAGGAAAGAUGAAUCAAUUGAUCAUUUAUUCUUCUCUUGCUCUGUUGCUUCGUUGUUAUGGAGUUUGGUCAGAUGCGUGUGUGGGUUGAAAACUGUUCCAUCUAGUGUAAAAGAUUGUUUUGGGGACUGGAUUAGGAAAUUUAAUAAAGAUGAUAAGAAACUGGUGCUGGUGGGGAUUUCAGCCCUGCUUUGGUCAAUCUGA